GUUGCAGUUAAAAAGCUCGUAGUUGGAUUUCUGGCGGGGACCCAAGUACCCCUGGUGGGUGUGCUCGGGCCCGGCCAUCCUUCUGUAAACUUUCGCGCGUCCUUCACCGGUCGGCAAAGGGAUCAGAUAAUUUACCUUGAGAAAAUUAGAGUGUUUCAGGCAGGCUUAGCCGGAAUACAUUAGCAUGGAAUAAUGGAACAGGACUGAGGUCUCGUUGUUGGUUACGCGGACUACAGUAAUGAUUAAUAGGGACAGUUGGGGGCAUUAGUAUUUAUUAGCUAGAGGUGGAAUUCUCUAAUUUGAUAAAGACUAACUUAUGCGAAAGCAUUUGCCAAGGAUGUUUUCAUUAAUCAAGAACGAAAGUUAGGGGAUCAAGACA
rnacentral:rRNA from 1 species